rnacentral:tRNA from 1 species
AAUGUUUUAAGUUAAUUAAAACUAAUGGCCUUCAAAGCCAUAAAUGGGACCUGCCCAAACAUUA